rnacentral:sRNA from 1 species
CCGCUUUCUCUCACUGGAGGAUCAUAUUCACACGCCGUUUGAUAGCUUUGCUAUUGGUUGAGUCCAUAGUUUAGUAGGAACAUUUUUUUGUAUCCUCAGCGGAGGGCAGUACUAACGUCGUAUUUCGAGGAAACCACGGAGCCUUUGGGGCAACGAGCUAUAUAGCAGCCAAUGCGGGUGGUAUUCUAGUAUGUAUAUGAGAGAUAGUUAGUCAGCGCUACUGUCUACUUCACGAAUAGGAGCUUAUCUCAAAUGAUGUACCAUCACUAUUCUUAC